rnacentral:rRNA from 1 species
AUACGGAGGGUGCAAGCGUUAAUCGGAAUCACUGGGCGUAAAGCGCACGUAGGCUGUUUGGUAAGUCAGGGGUGAAAUCCCGCAGCUCAACUGCGGAAUUGCCCUUGAUACUGCUGGACUUGAGUUCGGGAGAGGGUAGUGGAAUUCCAGGUGUAGGAGUGAAAUCCGUAGAGAUCUGGAGGAACACCAGUGGCGAAGGCGACUACCUGGACCGAUACUGACACUGAGGAGCGAAAGCGUGGGGAGC